rnacentral:rRNA from 1 species
UACGUAGGGUGCAAGCGUUGUCCGGAAUUAUUGGGCGUAAAGAGCUCGUAGGCGGUCAGUCGCGUCUGCUGUGAAAUUUCGGGGCUCAACCCCGAACUUGCAGUGGGUACGGGCAGACUAGAGUGUGGUAGGGGAGACUGGAAUUCCUGGUGUAGCGGUGAAAUGCGCAGAUAUCAGGAGGAACACCGAUGGCGAAGGCGGUUCUCUGGGCCUGUACUGACGCUGAGGAACGAAAGCGUGGGGAGCGAACAGG